rnacentral:rRNA from 1 species
UACGGAGGGUGCAAGCGUUAAUCGGAAUUACUGGGCGUAAAGCGUGCGCAGGCGGUUUGUUAAGUCCGUUGUGAAAGCCCCGAGCUCAACUUGGGAAUUGCAGUGGAUACUGGCAGGCUGGAGUACGGUAGAGGAAGGUGGAAUUCCCGGUGUAGCAGUGAAAUGCGUAGAUAUCGGGAAGAACACCCGUGGCGAAGGCGGCACUCUGGGACGGUACUGACGCUGAGACGCGAAAGCGUGGGGAGCGAACAGG